CUCUGCUGCCCGAAACAAGCGCGUGGAAAGCUUGGUCGGGGCUUCUCACAGCCGCGCGCACAGACUGGUUCUCCCCCCGCGUCUCCCGGGAGCGUCGCCGCCACCUGCACGCGUCCGGCACACAAACGUCGGUCUCACCCCUUAGUUUCUGGAAGAGAAAAAGGAAAAGCCACCGAGAGGCCUGACCCUGAGGGGUCGGGGGGAGAUGCGGGCGCGUAGUAGAGGGAAGCGACUGAGGAGCGGGGACUGGGCAGCAUUUGAAUGGAUGCGGGUGCCGCUGGCACCCGGGAAGACGCCUGGGAGCCGGCGCUGGGGAGCCGGGCAUGGGCUGGGAUGUGUUUGGAUUCCAAUCUGGGCCUGACACCAGUUCAGUGACCUCGGGAAGUUCCCCAACCCUGCGGGCCUGUUUCCUCCCUCUGAAGUGGCGACAGUAAUAGAACCGACCUCGUAGGCUCAUCGGGAGGUCCUGAUGGGAGAACCCAUGCAACUUGCCACCACAGAGCCAGGCCCGCGGCGACUGGCUCCUGGUGGGUAUUAAAGACGAGUCGGGAAAGAAGAGCAGGUAAGAGGGCGGGGAGACUGGCCCAGUGGGUUGGGGUGUGCACCUCGGCCACGUGGAAAAGCGAGAAUGCAGGGGCCGGACGCUUAUGGACGAUGCAUAUGUGGGGCCGGAUAGAAUUGUGGCAGGCGGCGCUGGGGCUGAUGCGCCUCACCCAGAUUAUCCUCUGUAAUCCUCACAGCCCUGUGAAGUGGGCCCUGCCAUGAACAUUUUGUAAAUAAGGCACCCGAGGCUCAGAGAGGUGAAGUAAUUUUCCAGACAGCCCAGCUCGUCAGCGGCCAGCAUUUGAAGUCACACUCCAGAGCCUGUUUUUAUCAUAAUAGCCGCUGUGACCGCAUAACCAACGUGUGUGUUGAAGUGAUCAAAUAACCAUGGGGUGGUCUCUGAUGUCCAGGACUUUUGAGAAAUACUGAAAAAGUAUGAGGCAAGGCCCCUGCCUUCAAAGAGCUUUCAAGUUUAUGGGAGAGACUGAGUCAGGCGCAAAUUAACCAACAUCUGUUGAGCACUUACUGCUUGCCAGGACCCUGCCCUUCUCUCACUGUCUUCCUCCCUUCCAGG
rnacentral:lncRNA from 1 species